CACCAGGUCAGGACACGGUAAGGAUUGACGGACUGAAGGCUCUUUCUCGAUUCCGUGGAAAGUGGUGCAUGGCUGUUUUUGGUUGGUGGAUCGAUCCGUCUGGUUAAUUCCGUUAACGAACGAGACCUCGGCACUCCGAAUAGCGCGGCGGACGUCGCGGCCUCCGGGCCGUCUUCCGCACGAGCUUCUUAGAGGGACCGUCCCCCGCCGGGGAAGGAGGUGCGAGGCAACGACAGGUCUGUGAUGCCCUUAGAUGUUCUGGGCCGCACGCGCAUUACACUGACGCGUCCAACGGGUGACUCCCGACCCGAAGGGGCCGGGGAAUCCGCAAGGCGCGUCGUGAUGGGGAUUGAACGUUGCAAUUGUUGUUCACGAACGAGGAAUUCCUAGUAGGCGCGGGUCAUCAACCCGCGCCGAUUACGUCCCUGCCCUUUGUACACACCGCC
rnacentral:rRNA from 1 species